AUUCUAGUGGCAGCUAUGACAGGCGACCAAAGGCUGACAGAGGUUUCUGGCCCUGUCCCUUCCGGGGGUGCACCUAUUGCUACAGCUUCAGAGGCUGUGACAGAUCUCCCUGCAUCACCUUGAAGGUGUAACCUGAAUCCUCACUUGGGAGCCAGAAAUCAGCUGAGAAGAGGCCUCAGGAGAGAGCCUGCCCUGGCCCUGGAGGGUGGAUGAAGUGGGGCCUCAGCACCGCUUAUCCCACCAAGCAGGCUGGACCCUUGAGUUCCUGACCAGCACUGAGGGGUUUGGCUCCUCAGCCCUAUCUGGCUCUGCCAUAUACAAUGAUACCUGGGCGAAAGGAGCGGUCAGACACCGUGGACCGAACAUUCGGACCUGCACCGGAGGACCCUGGCUUUCCCUGGGCUUCUUCAGGAGACCUACAGGCUGCACAGAGACCU